rnacentral:rRNA from 1 species
AGCAGCCGCGGUAAUUCCAGCUCCAAUAGCGUAUAUUAAAGUUGUUGCAGUUAAAAAGCUCGUAGUUGAAUUUCGGGAUUGGCGCAUCGGUCGUGCCUCACGGGGUAUGAACUGGUGCAGUCAAUUUCUCACCUUCUGGAGAACCGCGAUGUCCUUAAUUGGAUGCCGCGGGGAACCAGGACCUUUACUUUGAAAAAAUUAGAGUGUUUAAAGCAGGCAUUUUUGCUUGAAUACAUUAGCAUGGAAUAAUAAAAUAGGACGGCAUGGUUCUAUUUUGUUGGUUUCUAGGACCACCGUAAUGAUUAAUAGGGAUAGUUGGGGGCAUUAGUAUUCAAUUGUCAGAGGUGAAAUUCUUGGAUUUAUUGAAGACUAACUACUGCGAAAGCAUUUGCCAAGGAUGUUUUCAUUAAUCAAGAACGAAAGUUAGGGGAUCGAAGACGAUCAGAUACCGUCGUAGUCUUAACCAUAAACUAUGCCGACUAGGAAUCAGACGAUGUUAAUUUUUUAANGUACUCGUUUG